GCAAGUCGAGCGGUAGAGAGAAGCUUGCUUCUCUUGAGAGCGGCGGACGGGUGAGUAAUGCCUAGGAAUCUGCCUGGUAGUGGGGGAUAACGUUCGGAAACGGACGCUAAUACCGCAUACGUCCUACGGGAGAAAGCAGGGGACCUUCGGGCCUUGCGCUAUCAGAUGAGCCUAGGUCGGAUUAGCUAGUUGGUGGGGUAAUGGCUCACCAAGGCGACGAUCCGUAACUGGUCUGAGAGGAUGAUCAGUCACACUGGAACUGAGACACGGUCCAGACUCCUACGGGAGGCAGCAGUGGGGAAUAUUGGACAAUGGGCGAAAGCCUGAUCCAGCCAUGCCGCGUGUGUGAAGAAGGUCUUCGGAUUGUAAAGCACUUUAAGUUGGGAGGAAGGGCAGUAAAUUAAUACUUUGCUGUUUUGACGUUACCGACGGAAUAAGCACCGGCUAACUCUGUGCCAGCAGCCGCGGUAAUACAGAGGGUGCAAGCGUUAAUCGGAAUUACUGGGCGUAAAGCGCGCGUAGGUGGUUAGUUAAGUUGGAUGUGAAAUCCCCGGGCUCAACCUGGGAACU
rnacentral:rRNA from 1 species